rnacentral:rRNA from 1 species
GAUUGAACGCUGGCGGCAGGCCUAACACAUGCACGUCGAGCGGAUGAAGGGAGCUUGCUCCUGGACUCAGCGGCGGACGGGUGAGUAAUGCCUAGGAAUCUGCCUGGUAGUGGGGGAUAACGUCCGGAAACGGGCGCUAAUACCGCAUACGUCCUGAGGGAGAAAGUGGGGGAUCUUCGGACCUCACGCUAUCAGAUGAGCCUAGGUCGGAUUAGCUAGUUGGUGGGGUAAAGGCCUACCAAGGCGACGAUCCGUAACUGGUCUGAGAGGAUGAUCAGUCACACUGGAACUGAGACACGGUCCAGACUCCUACGGGAGGCAGCAGUGGGGAAUAUUGGACGAUGGGCGAAAGCCUGAUCCAGCCAUGCCGCGUGUGUGAAGAAGGUCUUCGGAUUGUAAAGCACUUUAAGUUGGGAGGAAGGGCAGUAAGUUAAUACCUUGCUGUUUUGACGUUACCAACAGAAUAAGCACCGGCUAACUUCGUG